AUUGAACGCUGGCGGCAGGCCUAACACAUGCAAGUCGAACGAGUGGCGGACGGGUGAGUAAUGUCUGGGAAAUUGCCUGAUGGAGGGGGAUAACUAUUGGAAAAGUUAGCUAAUACCGCUUACCUUCGAAGGUGCCCAGCUGGGAUUAGCUAGAAGGUGGGGUAAAGGCUCACCAAGGCGACGAUCCCUAGCUGGUCUGAGAGGAUGACCAGCCACACUGGAACUGAGACACGGCCCAGACUCCUACGGGAGGCAGCAGUGGGGAAUAUUGCACAAUGGGCGCAAGCCUGAUGCAGCCAUGCCGCGUGUAUGAAGAAGGCCUUCGGGUUGUAAAGUACUUUCAGCGGGGAGGCGUUACCCGCAGAAGAAGCACCGGCUAACUCCGUGCCAGCAGCCGCGGUAAUAC
rnacentral:rRNA from 1 species